ensembl:miRNA MIR26A1 microRNA 26a-1
CCUGGUUCAAGUAAUCCAGGAUAGGCUGU